UACGUAGGGUGCGAGCGUUGCCCGGAUUUAUUGGCGUAAAGGGCUCGUAGGCGGCCAACUAAGUCAGACGUGAAAUCCCUCAGCUUAACUGGGGAACUGCGUCUGAUACUGGAUGGCUUGGAUCCGGGAGAGGGAUGCGGAAUUCCAGGUGUAGCGGUGAAAUGCGUAGAUAUUGGGAGGAACACCAGUGGCGAAGGCGGCUCACUGGACUGGUACUGACGCUGAGGCGCGAAAGCGUGGGGAGCAACGGG
rnacentral:rRNA from 1 species